GAUAAAGUGGCUGAAAUUUAGGUAAUAAAUUGUAAAUUUAUUUAUGGUUAGAUUAGUAACCCUUUAUCA
rnacentral:tRNA from 1 species